rnacentral:rRNA from 1 species
GAUGAACGCUGGCGGCGUGCUUAACACAUGCAAGUCGAACGAUUGAAGCUGGAGCUUGCUCCGGCCGAUUUAGUGGCGGACGGGUGAGUAACGCGUGGGUAACCUGCCUCAUACAGGGGGAUAGCAGUUGGAAACGGCUGCUAAUACCGCAUGACAUAUAUUAAGGGCAUCCUUGAUAUAUCAAAGAUUUUAUCGCUGAAAGAUGGCCUCGCGUCCGAUUAGAUAGUUGGCGGGGUAACGGCCCACCAAGUCGACGAUCGGUAGCCGGACUGAGAGGUUGACCGGCCACAUUGGGACUGAGAUACGGCCCAGACUCCUACGGGAGGCAGCAGUGGGGAAUAUUGGGCAAUGGACGCAAGUCUGACCCAGCAACGCCGCGUGAAGGAAGAAGGCUUUCGGGUUGUAAACUUCUUUUAUAGGGGACGAAGGACGUGACGGUACCUGGAGAAAAAGCCACGGCUAACUACGUG